rnacentral:lncRNA from 1 species
UACUUCCUUCCUCAUACCCCCCAACCGAACUGAGCAUUGUCCUCAAUGUGAUUUGAGUGACUGUAAUAAAAGGGAGGAAGUGGUACCUCCAUGCUGAUAUCAAAUUCGAAUAUUGAUUGGGGAAAACCACAUGUUUCAAAAAGAAUAGAAUAUGUGAGAAAAGGAAAUAAGGAGAAUUUAAUGCUAACUUUUAACAAGAAAUAGUCAACUUGUAUUACUUUGAAUUCAUUUGAUUACAAUGCAAAAGACAAGUAACACAAGGAAUCCCAUAUAUAGUACCAAAAUACUGGGAUUUCAUUUUAACUAAAACAAAACAAACAUGCAUAAAAACAUAAACAGCAAAUAUAUAUAAUGUCUGAUGAGUGGGGUGAUGGUGCUAAGCAGAAGGAUCUGCCUCCUCAGUAGGUGGAUCAGCUGAGGCUUCGGGCUCUGGAGGAUGAGACUCUGAAGGCUGAGAGUGUGGCUCUGGUGGAGUAGGAAUGGAGGGCUCUACAGCUUGUGGCAGAUCGAAAUGGACUUGAAGCUGCCUUAGGAUGGCAGCUUGUUGAGCCUGAGAGGCUAACAUCUGCUCCUGGCAUGCUUUGAUGGCUGCCAACUCCUGAGCAAGAUUGCUCUGGGAAGCUGUAAGAGUCUCCAAUGCUCGGCACAGCUCUCGAUAUUCGGAUAUAGGGAUGGCCAUCCUCGGCUCAGCUGAUGUGGAUGGCUGUGAUGGAGCAGGUGCAGCUGGUGAAGCUCGAGGGAUGGCAGGAGUAGCAAG